AUUCAAUGCAGUAUGCAGGAGGAUUGUUGAGCUGUGAUACACCACUUGGGAAACUUGUCUUGCAUUGAGGCAUCCAUUUGACUGAUUGAUGUGCUUUUCAUGAUUCUGCCUAAAUAUAGGCUAAGGUGAAGCAUAACUGACUCAGAAUGAAAUUAAAUUUUGAAGUGGUCCACUUGGAGCUGAUUGAUGAGGUUCUACAAAUGGAGCAAAGGACUUGUCUGAAGCAGUGAUGCACUGGCCAGGAGAACUGUCUAGUAUCGUUUCAUCCAUUUGAUCAGUGGAUGAAGCUUACCUAAACUAGCAUGGAUGAUGGAAGAGAGGGGAAGAGUGGAUGUGACCCAAACUGAGCUGAUUCAAAUUCAACCAAAGGACAAAUGAUGUAGGGGAUGCUCAAUGAGGGUUGCGGCUCAAAACAGCUUGGACAUGGUGAAAUCCUGAUUGAAGUUGGAUCCUGUUGGACUCUAGUGGAAUCAAAUUCAGGAGAAGAUUCACAACUGAGAGGAAGAACAGCAUGACACGGGCUUCGUCAGCAAAGGCUGCAAGGUUAAGAUUUCUUCUUCCACAAGGAGAGGGGACUUGUUCUAGUAGUACUAGGAUUGUGAAGAACCUAUAGAUUAUUUAGAGACAGAUGCUUCCCUAAGAGAUUUUACUUAAAGAGGAAUACUUGUGAGGUUUUUCUUGGGUGUAAUUGGGGCUCUCUAUUGAGAGGGGUUGAGGAGUGAGAGUGGUUUAUGAUUGUAAUAUUCUUCAUCAUCAUCAUGGUCCUCCGGGGAU